rnacentral:lncRNA from 1 species
GUUCCUGAUCGCCCCUGUAUCCUUCUUCUCCCACCACCUGAAGGACCAGGCAAAUUGAUAGAUUUCUCCAAGGUCUCAGCUUGCUUCCCUAGAGCAGAGAAUUGGGGUCCAGAGUUCGAAAAUUGCAGCCAGGCUUGCGGGCAGUAGUGACUGUAAGUGGAAGGGCUCAUGGAGUCAAACAGGCUGGGUCUGCACCCUAGCUCUCCUAUUAAUGAGCUGGGUGCUCUUUUUUUUUUUUUUUUUGGUGAGGAAGAUUGGCCCUGAGCUAACAUCUGUUGCCAGCCUUCCUCUUUUGCCUGAGGAAGAUCAUCCCUGAGCUAACAUCUGUGCCAAUCUUCCUCUACUUUUUAUGUGGGAUGCCACCACAACAUGGCUUGAUGAGUGGUAUGUAGGUCCGCAUCCAGGGUCCAAACCCAUGAACUCUGGGCUGCAAAAGCAGCGGACACGAACUUAACCACCAGGCCGGCCCCAAUGAGCUGGGCACUGUGGAACCACCCUUCUCCUUUCUCUGAGACUCAGUCUUCUCAUUUGCAAAAAAGGACUAUCUGAAAGUGGUCAGUAAAGGGCACAAUACUGAGACCCUGAAUGUAGAUGCUUACUCAGGAAUUGCGGGCUGGCUGGAUAGAUAGACGAGUGAGUGAAUUCUAGGUUGGGGCAGGGAUCUGGGGCAGGUGUGGGUGACUGUCUGGCUUACCUAUGCCCAGGACAAACCCUGGGCUCGAGUUCCCAUUUCUUUCCCCAGGAUCCAUGGAUUUGCCAAACAGGCAGCUCUCAGCUGGAAAGAAAUUGACUCAGGUCGCCAGGAGAGCUAGAAUGAAUCAGGGAGGCCAGGACUGAGUGUGGGGCCCCCACCCAGGGGCCUGGGCCUCUCCCAGCAGGAAGAGCAUGAGCUGGUCCCCAGAGCUCACUGGGAACCCCUAAAGGACCGUCCCACUCUGAUAGUGGGACACCCAGACAAGACCUCAGCCCAGACUUCUUCUGCACUCCAGACCCAUAGGUCCGGCUGCUGGCUGAUCAGCUCUGCCUGGUAUGCACCACAAGCAGCUCCAACUCCACACACCCGAGACUGGACCCUGAGUAUCCCCCACACACCAGAAAACCACCUUC